GAGGAAAAGAAACUAACAAGGAUUCCCCUAGUAACUGCGAGUGAAGCGGGAAAAGCUCAAAUUUAAAAUCUGGCGGUCCUUGCGGCCGUCCGAGUUGUAAUCUAGAGAAGUGUUAUCCGCGCUGGACCGUGUACAAGUCUCCUGGAAUGGAGCGUCAUAGAGGGUGAGAAUCCCGUCUUUGACACGGACUGCCAGGGCUUUGUGAUGCGCUCUCGAAGAGUCGAGUUGUUUGGGAAUGCAGCUCAAAAUGGGUGGUAAAUUCCAUCUAAAGCUAAAUAUUGGCGAGAGACCGAUAGCGAACAAGUACCGUGAGGGAAAGAUGAAAAGAACUUUGGAAAGAGAGUUAAACAGUACGUGAAAUUGUUGAAAGGGAAACGCUUGAAGUCAGUCGCGUCGUCAGGGGAUUAACCUUGCAUUUUUGCUGGGCGUACUUCCCUGUUCGACGGUCAGCAUCAAUUUUGACCGUCGGAUAAAGGCUUGGGGAAUGUGGCAUCUUCGGAUGUGUUAUAGCCCUGGGUCGCAUACGACGGUUGGGAUUGAGGAACUCAGCACGCCGCAAGGCCGGGUGUUCGCACCACGUACGUGCUUAGGAUGCUGGCAUAAUGGCUUUAAUCGACCCGUCUUGAAACACGGACCAAGGAGUCUAACAUGCCCGCGAGUGUUUGGGUGGUAAACCCGAGCGCGUAAUGAAAGUGAAAGUUGAGAUCUCUGUCGUGGAGAGCAUCGACGCCCGGACCAGAACUUUUGUGACGGAUCUGCGGUAGAGCGUGUAUGUUGGGACCCGAAAGAUGGUGAACUAUGCCUGAAUAGGGUGAAGCCAGAGGAAACUCUGGUG
rnacentral:rRNA from 1 species